rnacentral:rRNA from 1 species
UACAGAGGUCCCAAGCGUUGUUCGGAUUCACUGGGCGUAAAGGGUGCGUAGGUGGUCGGGUAAGUCUGAUGUGAAAUCUCCGGGCCUAACCCGGAAACUGCAUCGGAUACUAUUCGGCUAGAGGGUUGGAGGGGGGACUGGAAUACUUGGUGUAGCAGUGAAAUGCGUAGAUAUCAAGUGGAACACCAGUGGCGAAGGCGAGUCCCUGGACAAACUCCUGACACUGAGGCACGAAAGCUAGGGGAGCAAACAGG